rfam:Gossypium hirsutum cultivar TM-1 chromosome 23, whole genome shotgun sequence
GGGGACGUAGCUCAGAUGGUAGAGCGCUGGCUUAGCAUGCGAGAGGUACGGGGAUCGAUGCCCAGCAUCUCCC